UCAGGGAACGGUAUUCCCGAGCUUUCUCUGACACCAAGUUUCGAGGACGAAACUUUCUUUUUAGAGGGUAGUAUUGUAAGACUCUAAAAUAAAUAAUUAGAUUAUUGAUUUAUUUUCGACGUAUUAAUUAUUUUUGUGUGUACUAUUCUAUUUUAAUCUUAGGAAUUUCCACUCUUUAAUUAUCUCUUUUUUUAUUGAAGAGAUGACCUGCUCUAACAGGUCACCUUUCCUAAUUCCCUAUGAUAGCCUAUCAUAAAAGAAUAUCCUUUAUUCUUCUCUCAUCCUCAUUACACAUUCAAAUUUCUGAUAACCUUCUCUCUCUUCGUGGUCCCUACCCCACCAAUCAAAAUUGAAUUUACACUCUCUUCCCUCACUCACCCCCAACCGUCCUCAUUCUUUCUCUCUCUCUUUAAUUAGUCAAAUUUGGUUUCUUCUCCACUACUCUUCCUCUCUCCUACGCGGGUCCCACUCCUACCAAUCAGAUAUUAUUUUCUUUUCUUUCUCUCCCUUCAUCCACUCCCUCAACCGCUCUCUCUCUCUUCCACCCUCCUCAUUCACGUUUCUUUUUCUUCCUUCCCACUACAGCUUCUUCUCUUUUUCCUCUGCAACUCACCCACAACACCUUCUUCUUCUUCAAUUUAUUUUUGUUGCAAAACCCAUCACCAUCACCUUCUCUUCUCUUCACCACAGCCCCAGUUACUCCUUCUCCUCCCUUAAGCUGAGCAUCAGCACCAUGUCCUUCUUCUCCUUCCAUGUGCAAACCACCAUGGCAUCACCCAAGCUAGCCACCACCGCCAGCAGCCACGGUGACGCCGCCACCUCCUUCAGCUGCGAGCACCACCACGUCCUCACCACCAUCACGUGACCAUGAACGAGCCACCUUGGUCACCACCACAAAACCCUAGCCGCCACCUUUUUCCUCCGAUCUCCGGCGACCCAUUAAGUUUUUGGAGAAACAAACACCACCAAUGAACUCCCCUCAUCAUCCGCAACAAAACCCCUCCAUCGAUUCGAUGAUCGGCCACCGUGACUCCGGCGACCGCCGUCGCCGCCGUCUUCUCCGGCAAGCUUUGUUCUGAGAAAGGAGGCCAAUUUCUUGAAGCUCUCAACCUCCUCUUCCUGAAUCUAAGGCUCAAUCAUCUUUAAGAGUUUCAAUGGCUACUGGAGGAAGGGGAGAGCCCGACCAGACCAGACCAGAGGAAGAAGUGAAGCUCAGUCCCAUGACCAUGAGACUUGAGGUAGAAGGAGAAAGAAUUGAACACUGUGUUUAGAAAUUAUAUGUUAAUUGAAAAGAUAAGAUUAUUGGUUGUAUGGUUUUUGUCAAUUGUUAGUCUAGGGUUAAUAUAUUUUUCUGAUUUGGAAAAUAGAAAUUGGAUUUUAGUUUUACAAAAUGUAUCAUGGUGCUGCUGUAUUUCUUUUAUAUAUAGGAAGCCUUGUACUUUAGCCCUUUGUGAAUUAAAGUACAAAGGUUAGGUUUUCAGAAUGAAAACUUAGUAGGAUUUACGAA